CUGUAUAUCUUCUUUGGAGAAAUGUCUUAUCAGGUCUUUUGCCCAUUUUUUAAUUGGGUUGUUAGGUUUUUGUUGUUGUUGUUGAGAUGUAAUGUUUUUAGAUGUGUUAGUCACAAAAGAGAAACUUUGAAACCACCCACAUGGCUCUAAUAGUAAAAUAAACAAUUGAAAAAGGAAUAGUCUCACAAGGGAAAACUGAGCAACAGAAGUGAAUGGAUGGUUUCUGUUCCGAUAUGUAAAGAGCCCUGAGUGAUCAUCUCAUCUUCCCAAUAAGAAAAACCUGAACCACCUGAAAAGCAACACCUCUUCUUAGAUCCAAGAGAGGUUUGAGAUGACAUGGCAAACAAAUGCUCCCAAAAUGAGAAUUUUGGAGCAAGUAUAGAGAGUUACCACUUACCUGGAGAAGAAACACCUGGAGCCAGCAACCUCGAGGAACACAUAUCCUCUUGAUGGUGAAUUUGCUGGAGACACAGAUUGGACUAGCUUGAGAGUCAAAAGCUUUAGGGAGUCUCAGAGAACCCCCCAAAAGUAUGUACUUUUCCACCAGCAACCCAAGGAAGUUCUUGUAAUGAAGACUGGAAAAAGUUGUCUCAUGCCUCAUGCAGCAAAUUGUGGGAAAACUUUUUGGUAUACACACAAGCACUCUGUGCUCUGUUACUUGGCCAUCCCUCAAAGGAAACUAAUUUGCCAAAAGCUUAUCUGAUUAGGGAAAGGGCAGUCAGACAACUCCUAGACGCUUUAGAAUUUCUUUGUGACAAAAGGGGAGGAAUAAAUGCUAAGAUGGUAUUGUCAAAUUCAUGGUCCAGGGAUUCUGUCCCAUGAAAACUUUACAGGUUUAAUCAUAGCAUGAGAACAUUUUCUCACCCUGAUACCUUCCCACAUAUCAACAGGGCUCCAGUAUAAAAACAGUGGGUUAAAACAGAGAAUUGCAAGACACAGACUAUGCAAGACUGAGUUUCGAGGGAUGCCUAAGCACACCAGGGACAGAAUAUUCCAGGACACUUGUAUGCAGCAUGAGGUGUCAUAAGAGAGAAGUUUAUAGCAAUAAACACAUAUUUAAAAAGAUAUCAAGUUAACAAGGGAACUGGAAAAAGAACAACAAACUAAACCCAAAGUACAAAAUGAAUUCUCUGAAAACUACAAAACGUGGUCCAAAAGAAAUUAGGAAAUGCAUAAAUAAAUGGGAAAAUAUCCCAGUUUCAUGGUUUUCAAAACUUGUUGAAAUGGUACUGCUCCACAAAAUGAUCUAGAGAUUCAAUGCAAUACCUAUCAUAACCCCAGCUGUACUCUUUAGUGAAAUGGGCAAAUUGUUUAAUAAAUUAUAUGGAAUUGCAAGGGAACCAGAAUAGCCCAACCAAUCUGGGAAAAGAAAAACAAAGUAGUAGGACUAACUGUUCUGGAUUUCAAAACUUUCUACUAAGCAAAGGCAGUGUACUAAGCAAGACAGUGUGGUACUGACUCAAGGAUAGACAUAGAGACAUGUGGAAGAUUGAGAUUAAAGAAAUAGCCUCCCACAUUAAUGAUCAACUGAUCUUUGACAAAGGUACCAAAAGAGAGGAAAGAAUAUUCUUUUCAUAAAUUGAUGUUGGGCCAACUGGAUAGCCAUAUGCAAAAGGAAGAGAGUGUACCCUUAAAACCCACAAAAUACAAUGAUUUACCAAAAAGAUCAAAGACCUAAAGAUGAGAAUAAAAGCAUAAUGAAAGUAUAUAAAACAUAGGAAAAAAUUCCUGACCUUGGAUUUGGCAAAAACAUGUUAGAUAUGACACCACGAGCAAUAAUGGGGAAACAAAAGGAAAUUUGGACUUAUGCACUAUGGAUCAGUACUACGGUACUAGUCUUAUGGGGCCACCGUGGUAUAUGUAGUCAGUCAUUGAGCCAAACUUUGGUAUGUCAGGCAUGACUGUGUAUGGAUUAUAUCUCAAUAAAGCUGUUCAUUUAUGUAAAUAAAUGCAUUUAGAGCUUCGAGAUGCAAAAGAGUUUUACAAUCCCCUCUCUUAGGCUUAUUAGAAUUUCCAGGUUAAUUGACACAUCCGUCACCUGAUGUGUGUGUGUGAUGAGAAUGCUUAGUUCACUGUCAACAGUAUACAUAUAUCAAACUGUCAGGUUGUAAUCUUUAUAUAUAGACAAUAUUAUUAGUCACUUUUCCCUCAAUAAAGCUGGGGAAAAAAGUUUCCAGGUGCAUCCCACAUUUACAUAACGAUUGAUUGGUUUCUUAGAUUGGUGAAAUUAGGAAUCACUGGCCUUAGGGAUAUCACAACCAUUUACCUUUCAAACUUCUGUAGGGACAAAGGCAAAGAUUGACCUAAAGGAAAUUUCCCUCCAGUGUAAAAUGUAAACUUGGGAAUUUAAUGAGGAUGUGUCCUAGCUUGUGGUUGGUCUGAGAAGAGACCUUGCACCCAGCUAGGGCCGCCGGGUUCUUACUUCCCCCAGAGCCAAGGGCCCCAGGAUUCUUUAUCUUAAGAAGCAAAUGAGUGGGGGUGGGGUGGGGAUGGGUGGAAGGCUGAACACUGGCAAGGAGGAAAGAUCAAAAUGGAGCCAGACUCUUGUAUUACAGAUGGUGAGGUCAUGUUACUGCACUAAGGGCACGAUCUGCUCACCUGAAGACAAAAGCCAAUCGUCAAGAGGCAAGACGGUGGCAGAGAAAGGGCAUUUUAUCACAGCUUGCUAGCAAGAGGGAAGAUGGCCGACUAACGUCCAAAAGAACCAUCUUAAGGGGGACACAGAAUCUUGAAGCAUUUAUAUAGGCCAGUGGGUUCUACGGGAGGCGGUUAGGAAUGUUGCCCCUCUGGUGUUACAGACUGGGAGUUGCCACACCAGAUCUUUCAGUUUCUAUUGAGGAUGGUUGUCAGCAUAGACUCUUCUGUUUAGGGGGGGUCAUCACGUUCCUAAGGAACUCAGAAGAACGAAGAUAUCGUCUUACCGCAGCUGGGAGGUAUAUGUACUAGCAGGGGUCAUAAAAUCUACAGAGCAGGUGGAUCUCCUGGAGGGUGCAAAUCGAGCUGCGUUGGUUAGUCAGAGGUCAUUCAAAGUUACAACAUGGUCUCUUUUCUACAAUAUGGCUUCCCUUAUGUCAACCUUGUGUUGAGCCGGUUUCAGUCACGUUUAACUGUCUGCAUUUCUAAACAAGGGUCAGGGUUCCAUGAGUGGCGAUGCAGCCUUACCCCAAGCCCUUGACCCCGGGAGGACAUGACCCUUUUGUUCCAGUGUGGCCCAGUCCAGGAACUUGUCUGUACUUGCUCCUGCUCCUUCUUGAAACUGACUCAGGAAUUCCCUGUGCACGCCUGUUACUACGCGUUCAUAAAGCGGUGGCGAAAACAAUUGUCAGUCCCAGGCCAUGAAAAUUUCUCCUUAAACGUGAAUGCACAGGCGGCACAGGUUACAGCCCACCUGCAGAAGCUGGUCCGCAGAACCUGGCGUCUUCCUGCUCCGCUGCCACUCAGGCUUCAGGGGGCGUGGCCUUCGGGAACUGUCCAAUCAGGGGAUCCGCUGGGACAAGUGGGUGGGGCGACGCACCGCCCCUGCGUGGAAGCCCCUGGCUCAGGCCGCGAUGGGGGUCAACGGUCGCCUGCCCUAAACGGCCCCUGGUGGCUCUGCUGCAGCCUCUGUCGCGCUGUGUGACCUGCCCUGGCCGUGGGGGUCGUAGGAAAGACUCAGGGAACCCAGGAGCCUUAGAAAUGGGGAGUGUGCGGCCCCGGGUUCUUCGUAAGAAGGAUCCCAGUGCUAGAAAGAAGUGCUGAAUGCAUAAAAACCAAGGAUCAGAAGAGUUUAAUGUUCUCCUAACAUGCGAAGACACAACGAAUUUACACUGCUCUUGGAACAAUUACCCCUCAGAGAGAACUGCAAACUGGAAAAAAGAAUCCAACAAGGGACAGUGCAGACUGAGGUGGAAGAGGCAGAAAUUCCUUUCUGGAGAGAAAAAGAGCCAACUUGUAGCCAUGAUGCUUCACAGCUGGCCGGGAGCAACCUUAAGGUCACCAACCUAGGGAGGGGCGGUGCUGACAGGACAGCUCACCCAGGAAAGUUUCUGAAGAGGGACCUCCACCCAAAGGACUUCCCAUAGGAUGUCUGUGCCCAGAAAUAUCCUGGGGGAGACGCACAAGGGUUUCGUGCAAGAUAGUUCCAGAGAAUUAUUGUAUUACUCUGAUGCUUUUACAAAAGUGCCCCUGGAAAUGUGCUUCAUCUUCAAGGAGAGUCAAGAAAAGGACUUUUUUUUUUUUUUUUUUUUUUUUUACAAGUGGAUAUACAAGCACUGUUGAAGGCUUACCAAACAAAAAUAAAAUUCAAAAGAAACUACACCAGGUCCUCCUCACCACCCAGAUGACAGCCACACUUCAGGGGCUUGAACCUUGGACACACCCCUCCCAGCUGAAGACGCUCCUCCUGACAUCUGGUCCUGUGCAGACGCUGGGGACCUCCACAUCAGACUGACAAGGGAGAGAAGUAGCUGACAUGGAGGUAGACGGCUUCCUCCCCAGAUGCCAGAUCAACACUUCCUACUUUAGCUAAACUUAAACCCUUCUUUCCUUUCUGUCCCUUAGUCUGGCACUGACCUGGAAGGAUAAUGCCAUCAUCUGGAUCCCCCCAGCUAUUGCUAAGAAGGGUAACCUCUGAAAAUUAGACCGACUUUUUAUUCCCAAGCUAGGAGAAAAUCUAACUGACUGGCCUGAAUGGGCAAAUGCAACAAUCCCUGUGAGUGAAUCCAUGAACAAGGCCACCUUAGCGGGAGUGGUUUGUGCCCUUACAGGAUUGAUCCUUGUCUGUGGUGGUGAUCCUUCUCCUUGGGUCUGUGAAUGCCUGGGUGGCUGGUGCAUAGCUGGGCAGGGCCUCUUAGGUUAUCUAACUGACCCCUAACUUUUCAAAAACAGGACAUUUCACUGGUUGACUCCCCUGUAUUUACAUCAUUGAGUUAGAAGAGAUGUACCAGGAGGCACUCAGGCCUCGGGAUUCACCUCCUUUGACAGGGCCAUACUGCUCUGGUUAGGAGGAAAGGUAAAUGAGAAUAAGAUCAGAAAACCUCUGCUUAGCUCUUGAAGAUUUUGCAAAACCCAUUGCUAAGACAAGAGCAGCCCAUUAAAGAUCCUUAGCCUCUCUGGCCAAAGUUGUCCUUGGCACCAGGACAGCCCUUGAUUCUCUUUCAGCUGAGCAAGGAGCUGUCUGUGCUGUGGCCACCACCAGCUGCUCCUGAAUGAACACUCCUGGGGAAGGUGAAACUCAAUUCACUGAGCAAGCCACUUGGCUUUUAUUAAAAGGGGACUCCUUUAAUGGUGUCUUUCUUUGACUAAUUUUAUUGUGAUUUGUUUGGGUCUUGGGGACCAGGGCUCCAAAGUGCAGCCCAGAUGUUGAGAAGUGUCCUGCUUAUGUAAUCAUAACAAACUCCCUGGUGCAUUUUAUUCUCUUAAAAGCUUUAAAUGCAGGUUCGAAGCUGCUAACCACCAAGCAAGUGGUCUCCCUAAGACUGGAACCUCAGAAAAGGAGUGGAGAGAUGACCAACUUAAAGACUGUGAACCUGAAGCCUUGAUCUGUGAACGUCACAGGAGUUAAGGAAAAGUGUCACGACCUCUGGAUGCCACCCAAAGGAACAAUGAAACCUGAGAGAAUUUCACAGCGGUGGCUGAGAGUGGUGCUAACGCCUUAAAUGUUGAUCACAUCUCAGUUAAGCUGAGGGUCUGAUCAAAAAGGGGAAAAUUGUGAAAAAGAUAAAAACAGACCUCAAGUGGAGUCACUUUUGCCAAGCUCAUGUCACCAAACCAGGGCUAAAUACCUACCCUAACUGCAGCUUCAACCUCCUCCAGGGAUGGAGUCUAACCGGUCAGGGUAGGACUGUCUAGUCAGCACCAAUGAGGCAAUCUGCCACAUGGGCCCCUCCAUCCCCCAAAGAAGAUGAGGGCAUCCACCUAAUAGGACCCUUGUGUCCCCAAAGGGAGGUAACCUUGCCUAAAAUGAUCUUUUUUUCUGUUAUGACUUCCUUGUCCUGCCUUUAAAGCCUUUCCCUUUCUGUACCCUCUGGAGCUCCUCUCUACUUGCCAGAUGGAUGCUGCCCAUUGAGGAAUUGCUCAAUAAAGCCAAUUAGAUCUUUACAACUUACUCGGUUGAAUUUUUGUUAUUCGACACAAAGAAACUAUAGUUCCUACACAUUUUUUUUAUCAUAAAUUGUUUACUGUAAAUAUCAAGUUUCAAAAACUCAGCCGGAGAUUUAAAACUGCCUGAAGGCCGCUCCUAGCACGUCUUCUAACAUUGACAUCUAGAAUGCCCAACCAUCUGGAUAACAAUGUAAUUAAUGUCUUGUAAGUCUUUUCAGCAUUUAUGUCAAAAGAAGCAAUCAUGGUACAUAUUUUUCUUUCUUCCCUUGGAUAUGCAAGGCCACAUGGUUUACACUGUGAAAUAUGCUUUGCUAUCUUGUUCAUGUAAAAAUAAGUCCUGCACCUAUUUCCAUAUCCACAUAUUUGAAUAUCAUAUGAUGGUCCCAACCAGGCCAUCUCUGAUCAAAGACAGGACCCAACGGUCAGCAGGAUUAGUCAGACUCCAGGCAAUCAUGCUAGGAGAUGCCCCGGCUAACAGUCCACCUCAUCUUCACAUUUUUACAGACUUCUAGCUCAUUGCCAAUGGUCUAGCUGCCUGGCAACAAGAACAUCAUGAGCUCCUUAUCCAAGGUCACCCUUUGGGAGAAAGCACUCUGGGAGAAUCUUGCUCAUAGUCACUCAAAUACAUAAGAAGCUCACACAUGUCUCUGCACGUACUGAACAUCAAACCGCAGAGCCUCACCUCAACCCUCAGGCUGAUAAUUAGUUACAAUUUCUGAAACACAUCCUGUCACCUCAGCUGCACUCAGAAGGAGGGAAAACAAACAGGGGGUGGGAAGGCAGGCUUUGGGGUAUCAAGACAGUGAGGGGCCCCUAUGUUCCCAUGGGAGGAUGUGAACGACUUAUUUGAAUAAUUCUGUAGACAGACAUAGUAAGGAUACUCACUAUGCUACACACCAAGACUGUAAUACUACCUGUAAAAUAUAACACUAUACUAUGCACUACAAAACUAAUUAUACAUGUUUAUAUAUAAUAUGUUCUACUCAUAUAUAACA